GAUGAACGCUGGCGGCGUGCUUAACACAUGCAAGUCGAACGGAAAGGCCACAGCUUGCUGUGGUACUCGAGUGGCGAACGGGUGAGUAACACGUGGGUGAUCUGCCCUGUACUUCGGGAUAAGCUUGGGAAACUGGGUCUAAUACCGGAUAGGAAUCACAUGUGGGUGUGUGGUUGGAAAGCUUUUGCGGUAUGGAUGAGCUCGCGGCCUAUCAGCUUGUUGGUGGGGUAAUGGCCUACCAAGGCGUCGACGGGUAGCCGGCCUGAGAGGGUGUACGGCCACAUUGGGGCUGAGAUACGGCCCAGACUCCUACGGGAGGCAGCAGUGGGGAAUAUUGCACAAUGGGCGCAAGCCUGAUGCAGCGACGCCGCGUGGGGGAUGACGGCCUUCGGGUUGUAAACUCCUUUCGUCAGGGACGAAGCGAAAGUGACGGUACCUGGAUAAGAAGCACCGGCUAACUACGUG
rnacentral:rRNA from 1 species